rnacentral:rRNA from 1 species
GACGGAGGAUGCAAGCGUUAUCCGGAAUUAUUGGGCGUAAAGCGUCCGCAGGUGGCCUAUCAAGUCUGCUGUCAAAAGACCGGGGCUUAACCCCAGAAAGGCAGUGGAAACUGAAAGGCUAGAGGAUGGUAGGGGCAGAGGGAAUUCCCCAGUGUAGCGGUGAAAUGCGUAGAGAUUGGGAAGAACACCGGUGGCGAAAGCGCUCUGCUGGGCCUAACUGACACUCAGGGACGAAAGCUAGGGGAGCGAAUGGG